GUUGGAAGGGACCUUUAGGAUCAUCUAGUUCCAGCAUACCUGAUAUAGGCAAGGACACCUCCCUUUAGACCACGUUGCUCAAAGCUCCAUCCAGCCUUGACUGCUUCUGUGAUAGACUCCUGAACACAGCAUUUCACAGAAUUGUAGAACAGUAAAGGUUGGCAGUGAACUCUGGAGACCAACUGGUCUAAGACCCGCUCAAGAAGGGACACCAAGAAUUCAACUCCAAGGAUGUACCAACUUUGGUUUUACCCUGUUGUGUAGAAGAAAAAUGAAUUUCAAGUUGGAUGUGGUAACAUUUUUCUACUUGGAAGGAGUAAAGCCUCGACUGAGAGAGUACUAAAGGAACUAUUCCAGAUGCAGUAGGCUGGCUUCUACUGUAGACUUGAAAACUAGAAAAAUUUAAACUCAUUAUACAAAGAAUUUUGGAUUCUGGACCCAGAAGCUUCAAUAAAGUGUUUGUAGUUUGGUGUCAAUGUAUGUAA